CGUACCCUACCGCGGGGUGGUGCUCUGACUGCGGCAACCGUUGAAGGGCUGCCCCCAGGGAGGCAGCAAGGCGCCACCGGUCCCUUAAACAUCUUCUGAAGUAUAUUCUACACUAAGAGGAAUGACUGCACCAUUUUUCUGAGCUAUGGCAGUCAGACCUGGUACCAGUAACUUCUCUACAGAACCCCCAAACCUGGCAAGAAUGGAUCAGAUUUUGACAGAUUAUGGCUUCAUCCACACCCAGAACUGAUGAUAUCAGCAGAGAGAGAGACAGAGCAUGAACGGGGGAGGGGCAGAGAGAGAG